rnacentral:rRNA from 1 species
GACGAACGCUGGCGGCGUGCUUAACACAUGCAAGUCGAACGGAAAGGCCCUGCUUUUGUGGGGUGCUCGAGUGGCGAACGGGUGAGUAACACGUGAGUAACCUGCCCUUGACUUUGGGUUAACUUCAGGAAACUGGGGCUAAUACCGGAUAGGAGCUCCUGCUGCAUGGUGGGGGUUGGAAAGUUUCGGCGGUUGGGGAUGGACUCGCGGCUUAUCAGCUUGUUGGUGGGGUAGUGGCUUACCAAGGCUUUGACGGGUAGCCGGCCUGAGAGGGUGACCGGCCACAUUGGGACUGAGAUACGGCCCAGACUCCUACGGGAGGCAGCAGUGGGGAAUAUUGCACAAUGGGCGGAAGCCUGAUGCAGCAACGCCGCGUGCGGGAUGACGGCCUUUGGGUUGUAAACCGCUUUCGCCUGUGACGAAGCGUGAGUGACGGUAAUGGGUAAAGAAGCACCGGCUAACUACGUG